UUGACAUGGACCUCGUUCGUGCUGCGAU
rnacentral:piRNA from 1 species